UACGUAGGGGGCUAGCGUUGUCCGGAAUCAUUGGGCGUAAAGCGCGUGUAGGCGGCCCGAUAAGUCCGCUGUGAAAGUCCAGGGCUCAACCCUGGGAUGCCGGUGGAUACUGUCGGGCUCGAGUCCGGAAGAGGCGAGUGGAAUUCCUGGUGUAGCGGUGGAAUGCGCAGAUAUCAGGAGGAACACCGAUAGCGAAGGCAGCUCGCUGGGACGGUACUGACGCUGAGGCGCGAAAGCGUGGGGAGCGAACAGG
rnacentral:rRNA from 1 species